rnacentral:sRNA from 13 species
UCGUGAAUCACGUUUAAUUAAUUGCAAUUGCAAUUGCAUGAAUGCAUACUCGUAUUGUAAAAUUGUUAUUCACAAACUUUUCACCUGCUAAUAAUUGCAAUUAUUACUAUGCAGUGCAACACCUAUUUCUGUGUAUGUAUGCAUGAGAUUACAAUGGGCGCCAGUGCUGAUAAUGGGUGAGCAGAGUGUGCAAUUUGAGUCGAUUAACGUAUACUCGAUGCCGACCUCUGACGUGUGAUCCGGCGCCAUUGGCCGUCUGUCGAUUAUGGAAUCGUCUGGCAAUCAGUACGUACGUGAGGUGCCUAGGUGCAUUUGGAUUGGAAUUGCCUUCAGCUGAUGUCUUGACACCGACAGCAGAUCACAGUCGACAAACCACAACUCACGUGUUCCGGCAAAAAAAAAAGCACCAUUUGCGGCUAGAUGCACACUCAAAACUUGUUCUAUAAAUUCUUAAGCGUUUCCUUAGUGGGUAGCUAGAAGCUGCAAUAUGUGACAACCAGCUGCUAUAUUCAACUUAAUCAAAUCAAGGUGUGAUCCGUUAAUGCAAUAAAUGCUCUUAGGGCGGGGCUGCUCUAAGCAAUCCAGCACAAUCGAGAGAUUCAUCAUUGAAAUCAAUCACAAUUCACAGUUUUUUUAAUCGACGCACCUGCCUGCAGAAAAUAUCUCAAAUAUUGCAUAAACAAAAUGCUUUACUUGCAGUUAUAUUUUUGCAGACGUAGACGCAAAUAAAUCUUCAGAUGCAACUGCUGCAAUAUUUGUCUUGCACAAUCUUGUAAAAUCUCAUUGUUCGAGAACUAACACUAUUAUAAGAAACCAAAUCCAUUUAACAAAUGUUUAAUGUAAAUGCAAGGGUUAGAAAGAUCCCCUGCUUUAUCUAUUCAGCAGCUAGAAAAUAAGUCAACAUUGUUAGAUAUAUAAGGCUGGGAUUUUAAGAAAUAAAAACAGUACGAUUUUACACAAAUAUUAAUCCAUAUAAACUUAUUCGAUUGUUUUCAAAUCGAAAUAUCACUAUAA